rnacentral:tRNA from 1 species
AAGGGUAUAGCUCAGUGGUAGAGCUCGUGUUUAGCAUACAUGAGGUCUUGGGUUUGAUCCCCAAUACCUUCA